rnacentral:lncRNA from 1 species
GAGUAACAACUUUGCCUUUUUAAUUACGCAUUAAGUUGAAUUCUUUAGUGAACUUCUGGAUAAAUUGUGUAGUGGAUUGCAAUAAGGUUAUUGUUCAAAAACUAAAUUUCAACUGCUAUAUAAAAUUGAGACAGUAAUAUACAAUUUAGCCAAAAUUCAAGUUAUUCAGGAGCUUUGUUAUCUAUUUCUUAUUUAGUCUAGCUACACAACCCUAUAUAAACUAAAAUUA